CCGGAGGAUGAAAAACCACCCAUAUUAUAUACAAUCAAACAAUUUUUCAUUUCUUUUCUUUUCCUUUCCUCCAUUUUCUCCGCAACCAAACACGAUAAAGUAGAGUCAGGCAUGCACUUCAACAGAACAAAAAACAGCACACAAAUCCCGAGAAAACUCAUCAAAGCCACACCAAAACAAAUCAAAUAAACAAAACCAUGCACUCUGAUUCCCAGAUCUACUACCAGCAAAACUUCAAACUCAAAACCCAAAACAAUACAAAUAAAACAAAAUGAAAAAACAAAAAAAAAAAAAGCCCAAAACCCCCCAAAAAGAACAAGGACAACAAGAAUUAGAGAGAUUAUCACCUUCAUGAUCACAUAGUACUAACCAUACUCGUGAAGAAGAUUUCAGGAGAUUUCAGAGAUACCGGAAAGACCUAGAGAGGAAAUGAAGAGUCAGCGGCAGACAAGACAUUAAAAAAAUUGAAAAAAUAAAUAAAUGAAAGGAUAAACGCUAUAAUGAGAGGCGAUGAGGUAC
rnacentral:lncRNA from 1 species